CUCGUAGGCGGUCUGUUAGGUCGGGAGUUAAAUCCGGAGGCUCAACCUCCGUCCGCUCCCGAUACCGGCAGACUUGAGUUUGGUAGGGGAAGGUGGAAUUCCUAGUGUAGCGGUGGAAUGCGCAGAUAUUAGGAAGAACACCAGUGGCGAAGGCGGCCUUCUGGGCCAUAACUGACGCUGAGGAGCGAAAGCUAGGGGAGCAAACA
rnacentral:rRNA from 1 species